rnacentral:rRNA from 1 species
GAUGAACGCUGACAGAAUGCUUAACACAUGCAAGUCUACUUGAACUUCGGUUCGGGUGGCGGACGGGUGAGUCACGCGUAAAGAACUUGCCUCACAGAUAGGGACAACAUUUGGAAACGAAUGCUAAUACCUGAUCUUAUGAUUCUAGGGCAUCCUAGAAUUAUGAAAGCUAUAUGCACUGUGGGAGAGCUUUGCGUCCCAUUAGCUAGUUGGAGAGGUAACGGCUCACCAAGGCGAUGAUGGGUAGCCGGCCUGAGAGGGUGAUCGGCCACAAGGGGACUGGGACACGGCCCUUACGCCUACGUGAGGCAGCGGUGAGGAAUAUUGGACAAUGGACCAAGAGUCUGAUCCAGCAAUUCUGUGUGCACGAUGAAGUUUUUCGGAAUGUAAAGUGCUUUCAGUUGGGAAGAAAAAAAUGACGGUACCAACAGAAGAAGUGACGGCUAAAUACGUG